ACACUCCUACGGGAGGCAGCAGUGGGGAAUUUUGGACAAUGGGCGAAAGCCUGAUCCAGCAAUGCCGCGUGAGUGAAGAAGGCCUUCGGGUUGUAAAGCUCUUUUGUCAGGGAAGAAACGGUGAAAGCUAAUAUCUUUUGCUAAUGACGGUACCUGAAGAAUAAGCACCGGCUAACUACGUGCCAGCAGCCGCGGUAAUACGUAGGGUGCAAGCGUUAAUCGGAAUUACUGGGCGUAAAGCGUGCGCAGGCGGUUUUGUAAGUCUGAUGUGAAAUCCCCGGGCUCAACCUGGGAAUCGCAUUGGAGACUGCAAGGCUAGAAUCUGGCAGAGGGGGGUAGAAUUCCACGUGUAGCAGUGAAAUGCGUAGAUAUGUGGAGGAACACCGAUGGCGAAGGCAGCCCCCUGGGUCAAGAUUGACGCUCAUGCACGAAAGCGUGGGGAGCAAACAGGAUUAGAAACCCCUGUAGUCCCAUGAU
rnacentral:rRNA from 1 species